rnacentral:rRNA from 2 species
GUGGAUUAGUGGCGAACGGGUGAGUAACACGUUGGGCAAUCUGCCCUUCACUCUGGGACAAGCCCUGGAAACGGGGUCUAAUACCGGAUAACACUCUGUCCCGCAUGGGACGGGGUUAAAAGCUCCGGCGGUGAAGGAUGAGCCCGCGGCCUAUCAGCUUGUUGGUGAGGUAGUGGCUCACCAAGGCGACGACGGGUAGCCGGCCUGAGAGGGCGACCGGCCACACUGGGACUGAGACACGGCCCAGACUCCUACGGGAGGCAGCAGUGGGGAAUAUUGCACAAUGGGCGAAAGCCUGAUGCAGCGACGCCGCGUGAGGGAUGACGGCCUUCGGGUUGUAAACCUCUUUCAGCAGGGAAGAAGCGAAAGUGACGGUACCUGCAGAAGAAGCGCCGGCUAACUACGUGCCAGCAGCCGCGGUAAUACGUAGGGCGCAAGCGUUGUCCGGAAUUAUUGGGCGUAAAGAGCUCGUAGGCGGUCUGUCACGUCGGAUGUGAAAGCCCGGGGCUUAACCCCGGGUCUGCAUUCGAUACGGGCAGACUAGAGUGUGGUAGGGGAGAUCGGAAUUCCUGGUGUAGCGGUGAAAUGCGCAGAUAUCAGGAGGAACACCGGUGGCGAAGGCGGAUCUCUGGGCCAUUACUGACGCUGAGGAGCGAAAGCGUGGGGAGCGAACAGGAUUAGAUACCCUGGUAGUCCACGCCGUAAACGGUGGGAACUAGGUGUUGGCGACAUUCCACGUCGUCGGUGCC